rnacentral:rRNA from 1 species
AUUGAACGCUGGCGGCAGGCUUAACACAUGCAAGUCGAACGCCCCGCAAGGGGAGUGGCAGACGGGUGAGUAACGCGUGGGAACGUGCCCUUCGCUUCGGAAUAGCCCCGGGAAACUGGGAGUAAUACCGAAUACGCCGUAUUGGGAAAGAUUUAUCGGCGAAGGAUCGGCCCGCGUUAGAUUAGCUAGUUGGCGGUGUAAUGGACCACCAAGGCUACGAUCUAUAGCUGGUCUGAGAGGAUGAUCAGCCACACUGGGACUGAGGCACGGCCCAGACUCCUACGGGAGGCAGCAGUGGGGAAUCUUGGACAAUGGGCGCAAGCCUGAUCCAGCCAUGCCGCGUGAGUGAAGAAGGCCUUAGGGUUGUAAAACUCUUUCGCCGGAGAAGAUAAUGACGGUAUCCGGAGAAGAAGCCCCGGCUAACUUCGUGCCAGCCGCCGCCGUAAUAC